AGGUGGGAUGGAGAUGAUUGAGGUCCAGGUGGGAUGGAUGAUGAUUGAGGUCCAGGUGGGAUGGAUGAUGAUUGAGGUCCAGGUGGGAUGGAGAUGGUUGAGGUCCAGGUGGGAUGGAGAUGAUUGAGGUCCAGGUGGGAUGGAUGAUGGUUGAGGUCCAGGUGGGAUGGAGAUGAUUGAGGUCCAGGUGGGAUGGAGAUGAUUGAGGUCCAGGUGGGAUGGAGAUGGUUGAGGUCCAGGUGGGAUGGAGAUGAUUGAGGUCCAGGUGGGAUGGAGAUGAUUGAGGUCCAUGUGGGAUGGAGAUGAUUGAGGUCCAGGUGGGAUGGAUGAUGGAGAUGAUUGAGGUCCAGGUGGGAUGGAGAUGGUUGAGGUCCAUGUGGGAUGGAGAUGGUUGAGGUCCAGGUGGGAUGGAGAUGGUUGAGGUCCAGGUGGGAUGGAGAUGAUUGAGGUCCAGGUGGGAUGGAGAUGGUUGAGGUCCAUGUGGGAUGGAGAUGGUUGAGGUCCAUGUGGGAUGGAGAUGGUUGAGGUCCAGGUGGGAUGGAGAUGGUUGAGGUCCAGGUGGGAUGGAGAUGAUUGAGGUCCAGGUGGGAUGGAGAUGGUUGAGGUCCAGGUGGGAUGGAGAUGAUUGAGGUCCAGGUGGGAUGGAGAUGGUUGAGGUCCAGGUGGGAUGGAGAUGAUUGAGGUCCAGGUGGGAUGGAGAUGAUUGAGGUCCAUGUGGGAUGGAGAUGAUUGAGGUCCAGGUGGGAUGGAUGAUGGAGAUGAUUGAGGUCCAGGUGGGAUGGAGAUGGUUGAGGUCCAUGUGGGAUGGAGAUGGUUGAGGUCCAGGUGGGAUGGAGAUGGUUGAGGUCCAGGUGGGAUGGAGAUGAUUGAGGUCCAGGUGGGAUGGAGAUGAUUGAGGUCCAUGUGGGAUGGAGAUGGUUGAGGUCCAGGUGGGAUGGAGAUGGUUGAGGUCCAGGUGGGAUGGAGAUGAUUGAGGUCCAUGUGGGAUGAAUAUGGUUGAGGUCCAGGUGGGAUGGAGAUGGUUGAGGUCCAUGUGGGAUGGAGAUGGUUGAGGUCCAGGUGGGAUGGAUGAUGGUUGAGGUCCAUGUGGGAUGGAGAUGGUUGAGGUCCAGGUGGGAUGGAUGAUGAUUGAGGUCCAGGUGGGAUGGAGAUGGUUGAGGUCCAUGUGGGAUGGAGAUGGUUGAGGUCCAGGUGGGAUGGAGAUGGUUGAGGUCCAGGUGGGAUGGAGAUGAUUGAGGUCCAUGUGGGAUGGAGAUGGUUGAGGUCCAGGUGGGAUGGAGAUGAUUGAGGUCCAGGUGGGAUGGAGAUGGUUGAGGUCCAGGUGGGAUGGAUGACCUUCAUGGUUCAGGUCCAGUUUAUCUUGUGGGUUGGUAAAAACAUCUGAGGUGUGUUUCUACAGGAGGAGCCUGUUUCAGGAACCAGGAUGUAAUCAGAUUACCGAGCAGAGACCAGAACACGACCCGGGUUCUGAUAUUACCAGAACCAUCAUGGUGGAACUUGCUGGAGGCUUUCAGGCUUUGUGUUUGGGUCAUCUGUGGGUUAUAACACAGCAUCUAGCUGGUCAGGACCAGAACUUCUGGUCAGGUUCUGGUCCUGUCCAGAACUUCUGGUCCUGUCUGUAAACCUGUGUCUCAGUGGCGGGUGGUUCCUCUGGUUCUGGUCCAGAUGCGGUCCUGACUAGUUUUGUGGAAGGUUCUGGGGAAGGUUGGUUAGGCCCGGUUCUGUUCCAGGUUCUGUUGCUUUAGUGGACCUCUGACUGAAGGUGGACCUUCAUGCUCUGAUGGCUCUUUCUGUGCAUCACGUCUCUUCCUGCUCUCCUCACCUGCUUCUCUGCUCCACCUUCAUCUCCACGCUGCUCUUCAUCACUGCUCCUCCUCCUCCUCCUCUGCCGGCGCCGCUCUG